rnacentral:rRNA from 1 species
UACGUAGGGGGCAAGCGUUAUCCGGAUCUACUGGGUGUAAAGGGAGCGUAGGCGGCGAUGCAAGUCAGAAGUGAAAGCCCGGGGCUCAACUCCGGGACUGCUUUUGAAACUGUGUUGCUAGAUUGCAGGAGAGGUAAGUGGAAUUCCUAGUGUAGCGGUGAAAUGCGUAGAUAUUAGGAGGAACACCAGUGGCGAAGGCGGCUUACUGGACUGUAAAUGACGCUGAGGCUCGAAAGCGUGGGGAGCAAACAGG